rfam:Glycine max cultivar Williams 82 chromosome 6, whole genome shotgun sequence.
ACAUACGGAUCAACAAUCCGUAUGGUUCAUACGGAUUAGCAAUCUGUAUGACUAUACAGAUUGCUGAUCCGUAUGUUCCUAA